AUGGGUGAGCCACCGGUGAAGCUCAUCAGCUCAUUCGGCAGUACGUUCAGCCACCGCACGGAGGUGGCCCUGAGGCUGAAGCGAGUGCCGUACGAGCUCAUCGUCGAAGACCUUCACAACAAGAGCCAACUGUUGCUCACCCACAACCCCAUCCACAAGAAGGUCCCCGUGCUCCUCCACGGCGACAGACCAGCGAUCAGCGAGUCGCUCGUCAUUAUCGAGUACGUGGAUGAGGCCUUCGCCGGGCGGCCCCUCCUCCCCACUGACCCCCACGCCCGCACCACCGCCCGGUUCUGGGCUCACUUCAUCGAUCAAAAGUGCAUGAAGUCGUUGUGGGCGGCGCUCUGGAUGGAACCUAGCGAGGCACAGAGACGGUCCAUGGUAGAGGCAAAGGGGAGCCUCGCGUUGCUAGAGGAGCACCUCGGGGAGAGGAGUUUCUUCGGUGGUGACUCCAUCGGGCUCGUGGACAUAGCAGCUAGUGUACUGGCACACUGGCUUGGAGUCAUGGAGAAGAUCUCCGGAGUGACCGUGGUCACCAAAGAGGAGUUCCCGGCCCUUUGCCAUUGGUCUAGACGGUAUGUAGGUGAUGAGGAUGUGAAGACAUGCUUGCCGGAGAGGGGUGACCUCGUUGCCAUGUUCUCUGGGUGCAAGGAGAUGUUUCGAUCAAUGGCAAUGGCGAUGCCACAGUAG
rnacentral:rRNA from 1 species